ACAACUCAAUUAAGUGAGAUACCCUACUUAAGCACUAUA
rnacentral:rRNA from 1 species